CCUACGGGAGGCAGCAGUAGGGAAUAUUGGACAAUGGGGGGAACCCUGAUCCAGCGACGCCGCGUGAGUGAAGAAGUAUUUCGGUAUGUAAAGCUCUAUCAGCAGGGAAGAAAAUGACGGUACCUGACUAAGAAGCCCCGGCUAACUACGUGCCAGCAGCCGCGGUAAUAAGUAGGGGGCAAGCGUUAUCCGGAUUGACUGGGUGUAAAGGGAGCGUAGACGGUGCAGCAAGUCUGAUGGGAAAGGUCGGGGGCCAACCCCGGGACUGUAUUGGAAACUGUUGAACUGGAGUACAGGAGAGGUAAGCGGAAUUCCUAGUGUAGCGGUGAAAUGCGUAGAUAUUAGGAGGAACACCAGUGGCGAAGGCGGCUUACUGGACUGUAACUGACGUUGAGGCUCGAAAGCGUGGGGAGCAAACAGGAUUAGAUACCCCAGUAGUC
rnacentral:rRNA from 1 species